UAAAUAAAUAAAUAAUAAUAAAAUCCAUGCUUCACUGCUAAUGACAAUUGCACCCGGGGGGAUGGGAGGGGAGGUCAAGGUACAAGUGAAGUUUGUUUUCCUUCCACUUUCUAUUUUUCUGGACUGUUUACCUGACCGUAAGUGUGCGUUAUUUUUAUAAAGGGAAAGAUCAUGUUUGAGAAUAUUAAUUUUUUUUUAAAGUUUAUUUGUUUUUGAGAGAGAGAGAGAGAGUGCUUGAGUGUGGAGAAGGGGCAGAGAGAGAAGGAGAGAGAGAAUCCCAAGCAGGCUCCGUGCUGUCAGCCCAGAGCCCAAUACGGGGCUCGAACUCACAAACUGUGAGAUCGUGACCUGAGCUGAAACCGAGAGUCGGACGCUUCACUGGCUGAGCCUCCCAGGCGGCCCUAGAAUAUUUUUAGUUAUUUGGGGAAGUUUUCAUGUGAUGAGGCCAAAUGGAAAAAAAAGCAGGUGCUAACCCUACAUAUAGCUACUAUGAUUCUUCAUUUACUUAUAUACAUGGAUAGAGCAGAAAGCACUGAAUUCAGUCCCUGGCACGUACAAAGCACUGAAUGUCUGCACACAUAUUGCUCUUAUGAUAUUGAUGCAGAUAUAGAUAAGCUAUAACUCUGACCACUUCCGGGUUGUGUCGUUAGGGGUGAUGUUCACAUCCUGUUCUAUACUUGCCCAUAGUUUUCAAAUUUUCUACAAUGAGUGUGUGUUAGCUUUAUUAUGUCACGUUCAACUUUGUUCUAAAUCAUACAAUCACACAAACAGAUUCUCCACAGUAGAUGUUGAACCAAAAGGGAUUCAGGACUGAGUCUAAAUUAAACAUUUCUAGCUGCCAGUGAUCGGCUUAAUUGAAAUUGGACUGUGUGAAACGACGGUAAGUGGUCCCUCCCAUGUGCGUCGUCUAAUGGCGUGCUUCCACACAUGACUGCCUCCCUUGGCCCUUGUGGCACCCUGCAAGGCACUGAGAUUAAGGGAACUCAACAAAAUACGAUGGGAAAAAAACGUACACACACACACACACACACACACACACACACACACACUGGCUGGACCUUGAGCAAAGUCACGGUCCUGCAGGAUUCCAAUCCUUUCUACGCCCCAUCCCAGGACACAGCGUGGCUCCCUAACUGGGCUUCCUGGCCUCCCCAUGGCCCAGGAGGCAGCAGUGGGAGUUGGCAAGGCAGGAGGGGAGGAGAGGAGAAUGGCCACUGUGCACAGGGGGUGAUGGGGUGCCUCUCCCCCUCGUUUGGCUCUCAGAGAAAACCCCGCCCUGCCUGAUGAGGCCCCUGCCCUUCCAGGUGCCCCACAGACCCACCUGUGUCCAGCCCAGUAGUGGGUUUGGCAGACAGGUGACAUUUUCUGGAAAGAACAGAAGAUCAUGCCCUGCGGAUGCUUCUAGGGUAACUGCUUUCCGUUCUUUCCAUCUUUGGAUUCAUAUGUGAUUUGUUUUGGGGCUCUUGGGAUACAGAGAAUUCUCUGAGCCUCAGCACAGAAACUCCAGUUCACAGAUAGACUAAGAAAUCCUUGGAGGCCAGAGGAGAGCAGCACUACGCGAGACAGACUGGUCAUAUCCGCUGGCGGUCAGGCCAUGGAAUAGAGUUUAGAAAGAGAAUAAUAAUGAUGAUAAUAAAUAAUAAAACAACUAUCAUUUAUUGAGCACUUAUUAUACAUGCCAUCUAUUAUCUCAUUGCAUUAUCCCAUCAUCCUUGUGGCGUAGGUAGUGUUCUGCCCAUUUUUUAGGUGGUGAGACUAAGGCUCAGGUGAAAUAACCUGUCCAGAUUCCCGCAAAGCAAAUGGCAGAGCUGGGAUUCAAAUCCAGAUGGUUCUCUCUCCCAAACUGAUGUCCAGAACGUACCUGGCAUAUGGCAUUCUCAGUGCGAGUUGUUCGAAACAGAUGGAUUUAAUGAGCAUCUACUGAGUGCCAAGCCCUGGCUUAAAUGCUCUUGUAUGGUAUCUCACUUCCUCUCCAGAACAGCCUCUGCGGGGUAUGUGUACUUACUGUCAUUUUACAAAUGGGAAAACUGGGACUCAGAGGUUUGCCCAACAUUACUCUGAGCCAAAUAAAGGCCUUUUAAUGGCAGCUUCAUGGGGAGAAUGAGUCAGGAGCAACCUGGUCCCAGGAUCGGAGCCACCAGAGCAGAGCAGAUUGGGGGAUGGGCGGGGCUGCUGGUGGGGCACAGUCUCCACCUACAGGAGGCAGCAGAAGGUCCAGGGGCAACUAUGGCUUUGGACGAGCCACCGCCCCCGCUCACGACUGCCUACCAUACAGUGUUGUCGUGAGGGUUAAAUGAGGUAAUGCACAGGACAUGCUUAGGGCGAUUACCAGGCUCACAGGAGACACCUGACAAAUGUGAGGUCCCGCUAUUCCUACCCACCUUCUCUCCCCUACUGGUCUCUGUCAGUUGGUCAACGCUCCUGACUGGCUGUAAGACAGCCAGCCAAGCCGCUCCCUGGCUAUUUGACCUUGUGCGGCUCACGGGCCCUCUCUGGGCCCGGGCUGGGGUCAGGGGCUGCUGACUGGACUCUCUCUGGGAGCCUCACCAUAUCUGAGUGAGCCCCCCCUCCCACCCCCGGCUCUCUCCCCCAGCCUGUACUUGCCUUCAUGCUGAGCCUGGCGACAGCCAGCCUUCACACAGAGGCUCUGGGGGCGAAGGCAGCCGCCCACUAUCCCAGGGACUGCCCCUGAAGGCUUUUCCAGAGGGACACCCCCAAACACAUUCCAGGUGACAUACCAUUUUGCUUUCUCCCACAGCCCCUGGCAGGGGCCCGCCCACUCCGGCAGGGGACAGGAAAGUGACUCAGCUCCCCAGCCCCCUCCUCAGACUCACACACUCACAGCCUUGCUUUGGAAAAAGAGUGGUUUUCAUUUCUUUCCUUUUUUUUUUUUUUUUUUUUCCCUUCAAGCACUCUUACUUGUCUCUUUCUCCCACGGGCCUCCCCGGUCUGGGCCAGGAGUCUGUGGCCAACCCUUCUCCAUCCUCUCCUGGUGGAGGGUCCCGCCAUCAGGGAGGGCGGUGUGGCCCUACUGUGCGUGGUGGGAAAGAGGGGGACUCUGGAGGCCCCAGCUGGCCCCCUAUUAUAUUGGCUUCUAUUAAAUUGAAACACAUAGCACAUCUAUUACACAAUAAACCACAGCUAUUUCAUGGAUCAAAUUAAGUUUUAUUUGGGCAAAUUACAACCUUUCCUACAGUCGUGCCUUUGUGAGGCCAUUCCUUUUUAAUAAAAGCAAGCAUUUCUGGGGCUGGCCCUGCUGGACCAAAGCUCCGUGGUGGGUUGGGGGCUCAGGCCAGGGCUGGCAAGAGGGUGGGAGUGUGUGUGUGUGUGUGUGUGUGUGUGACUCUGUGUGUGUGUGUAGGAGAGAAAGAGAGGGAGCGAGAGAGAGAGAGAGAUGGGAAUUCUUGGGUCCCCUCUGGGGACUGGAUUUGUCCAUCUUUUCCCCUGCCUCCCCAUCCUGAAGUUUCCAUGGAAGUCUGCAAUGAAGUUCUCAUUUAACAAGAAAAAGGCGGCAGCAGCAGGGAAGCAUUUCCCGGAAUCCAGGAGGAAGCAUGAGUCACUGGCCUGCUAAGUGAGCCCUGCGUGGCCACUACGGCACCAGCCCAGGAGGCCUGGAGCAUAGGGCCAGCCUCCAGGACCGCGCCAGGCUGCCCGCAUAGACAUGCCCACUGCCCGGGCUGACGCAGGCUCCGGGAAUGCAAACAAAGGUGACAUGAGUGCUGCUUUGGAGCCAGAAGCCAGCGUUCUGGGAUCUAGAGGUGAUGGAAGGUGCUGGGCCCAACGUGCACGCUUGGCCCGUGCUGGGUAACUGGUUUAUCUUUUCUGGAGUGUGCUUCAGAGGCUGCCCUGCCACCUAGGAAGUGGCAUGGCAAGAACUCUCAUUCCAGAGCCAGCGAUACAGAAGGAAACAGGCAGGUGGAGUGAGAGAAGCAAGAAGCGACAGAAGGAAGCUGGGCUGGAGACAUGUGGGGCUUCCAGAAUCUUGUUUGUCCAAGGGUGGUCCUUAGACCAGCAGCGGCAACAUCCCCCAGGAGGCUGUUAGGCAUUCGGAAUCUUGAGCCCCACCCCAAACCUACUAAAUCCGAAGCUACAUUUUAACAAGAUCCUUGAGGGGGUUCCUGUGCUUAUUCAAGCUUGAGAAGCAGCAGAAGCACAAGAAAAGCCCUGGGUGGGGCACAGGGGCACAUCCCCAAGCCCCUUCCUGUCUCACAGGGUUGGCCCAGCUCCCUCGGGGCUCCCAAUCCCCCAUUAGCACUAACAUCCCCUCAGUGAACCCUGGAGCCCGAAGGCCCUGGAGGAAGACUUGAGUCCUUAAACUACACAACUAAACCCAGUAUAGUGUGAGGGACUCGACCUCUGCCUAGCGUCCUCCUCCCAAGGUCAGGGAUCUUUACUUCCUCUACCCUCUCUUCCCGGGUUCAAGCCCAGGCUCUGCCAUUUACUGGCUAUGAUUCUUGCUGUGAUUCUCGGUACUUCUACCAGUACCGGUAAAAUUAGAAUGCCGGUAUUUCCUAGAUCAUACAUUUUGCGUGUGUGUAGAUCAAAUCAGCGGAUCCAUAUCAAGUACUUAGAGCAGUACUUGGCACGUAACUCUAUUAACACUGUUACUUGCUUUCAGACUUCCUUCGUUCCGUCCUCUGGGUAGCCCUUGGGCUGGGCGGGGGAUGGCGGAAAGGCGGUGCCGACCGGGGAACACUCAGCGCCAAGGCAGGGCUACCGGAUCGGAUUCCGGAGGUGACAGGGGCUCCUGGGGGGAAAGAAGGAAAUGUGUUUGUGGGAUACCUGUGAUAUGCCAGGCUCAGUGCCAAGCACUUCCGUCGUCUCCGCAGUUGGAAAGUACUGUUCCUUUCGAAGCUUACAAGGGAUUGAAGCCCUAGAAGGCCAGCCGGUGAAAGGCGGAGCUUGUGCUUGGUGGGCCUGCCUGGCUAGCCUGACCUCAGUCUCACACCCAUUUCACACGACCCCUCGCUUCUACCUCUAGUAUAGCCUGGUCUGGCCCCUGGAGGAGAUAGAGGGAUUCAGAAGGCUAGAGCCGGCAGAGGAAUGGGGAGGCUGAUGGGCCCUUGGGACACGGUUCAUGGCUCUUUCCCUAGGGCCUCAGUUUCCCCAGGGUGGUGCCUCCUCCUUGCAGGGAGCAGGGCAGGUUUGCUGAGUGGACCGGUAGUGGGUUGAGCUGCUCCCGGAUUUACUCUGCCAACAUAGCCUGUCCCUCUGUCCCAUGAUGGGAGGGCAGGCCUUUGGCAGAUGUGUUAAAAUGCCAGCCAAGGGGGUUACUUCUGGUUUCAGCUCGGAUGCGUGACGAGCUGGGAACCUGCCACCCCCAUCGUCACAACAAGAGAAAGCUGAACAAGCUAAAAGUCAACACCUUUUGUUUAUUUAUUUUUUAAAGCUUAUUUUUAAGAGAGAGAGGAAGCGUGAGGGGGGGAGGGCAGAGAGAGAGGGAAAGAGAGAGAACCCCA